GACGAACGCUGGCGGCGUGCUUAACACAUGCAAGUCGAACGCUGAAGCUUGGUGCUUGCACUGGGUGGAUGAGUGGCGAACGGGUGAGUAAUACGUGAGUAACCUGCCCUUGACUCUGGGAUAAGCCUGGGAAACUGGGUCUAAUACUGGAUACGACAUGCCACUGCAUGGUGGUGUGUGGAAAGGGUUUUACUGGUUUUGGAUGGGCUCACGGCCUAUCAGCUUGUUGGUGGGGUAAUGGCCUACCAAGGCGACGACGGGUAGCCGGCCUGAGAGGGUGACCGGCCACACUGGGACUGAGACACGGCCCAGACUCCUACGGGGGGCAGCAGUGGGGAAUAUUGCACAAUGGGCGGAAGCCUGAUGCAGCGACGCCGCGUGAGGGAUGACGGCCUUCGGGUUGUAAACCUCUUUCAGCACGGAAGAAGCGAGAGUGACGGUACGUGCAGAAGAAGCGCCGGCUAACUACGUG
rnacentral:rRNA from 1 species